rnacentral:lncRNA from 1 species
UUUAUACAACCUCUGUAUAUAUAUAUAUAUAUAUGGUCAUAUCAUUCAAUAAAAAUACGUAACUCAUCUUCCACAUGGUAUUAGAAUUUUAAGUUUAAAAAAACUAAACUUUUUUUAUAAAUCCUAUUCGGCCAUCAUUGCCGAAAUAAGAAACCCUAAGGGAUGCCAGCAUUUAUAUCUGGCCAACUCAUUUCGAUCGGCAGCGACCACAAGACUGGCCAUCUCUACCACAAGGUAGACUUUUUAGCUAGCCCUAGUGUCCAAACCGCAUGGCUAGAAGCAACUGCUCAGCUGCUAGUCACCAGAAUCGCGCACCUGCACCUAUACAGUCUCUAUCAAGCCAGUUGCAAACCCAACUCCAUCUGCUUCAUGCCUAGUUCCAUUUGUUGCUGCGUGUUAAGUUCCUUUGCCACGCACCCAGCAACCUUCACAACACAGCCACAACCCCUCACUUGGCACGUCUGUACCUGACAGCCCUUCUUUCCGCCAUUGCUGCUCUCUGCACAACAGCAAUGCCUUGCACACCCAGCCACCACAGCACAUAGCCCUGUGUGCUCAACCUUUGGAAAGUCUAGCAGGUAAUCUCGCUCCUAUUACUUCUUAUUUGUUCUUAAUUACAGUGAACUGUUUUGAAAUAUGUUGGAAGUUACUUCUCAAUCUACUGACACAAACUCGCCAAUCAGAAACUCAACACAGAACAAUGGCGAAUGUCAAUAGAUCUAGGCUACCUACCUCUUCAGCGGGAAAGAUUACCUAAAUUGUUUANNNN